rnacentral:lncRNA from 1 species
CUUUAAGAAAAAAAAUACCGUUUCAAUGCAAAACCCACAUUACAUAUCUCUUCUAAUUCUCUAAUUUCUUUAUUUUAUAAAUCUUUCAGUAUAAAAUCGUUCAUGUUUAUUGCCGCAUAAAAAAAUAAUAACUUAAAAAAUGAACUUGAAAGGAGUUUUCCCUGAGGAAUUUGCAAAUCUACCUUUACUUCCAACACGGACCCAUUAGUAGCAACUGCUUUAGGAGAACCAACAAUAGCAAUGUAAAAUUGGGCAAGAAAGAGAAGAGGCAAUAUACUCUCAAGUGCACCAGCAAAUGUAUCCUAAGUUAGCAACAAUGAACUUGCUUGAGUUAUGGCAAAUUUGAUCCACAACCUUUAUAUUUUCCAUUGUUGCCCUUCUUUUAAUAGGGUUUUUACCAAGCAGGGGUAAAAUGGUCAAAACAACAGAAGCCACUUCAGACAACAACCAUACUUUUGUUUUCUCUUUUGUGACGUGAUGAAAAAAAUGGCAAGUUAGUUGGGAAAAGUUUCAAAAGUUCAAUCUUCAAUAAGAAAAGAAAAUGAAUAUACAAUGUUCUAAUUGAAAAAAAAUAAUAAUAAUAAGAUGUUAUGAUAAAGCAUACCUUUGAAAGUUGAAAUGGAACACGUACUUUUUGUUUGAAAUGUGUUAUUGAAAUUCUAAUUUCUCAUCACUAUGACAGUUGUAACAAAUUAUACCUAGACACAAAGAGAAAAUCGUCUUGAAAUGAUAAACAUAUAAUACAAUAAAGCCCGAAAUCAUAACGGCGUAACGAAAUUCUGAAGAUAUAACAAAAAUUCAUCAAGGAUAAGUGUCAAAAUAAGAAAUUGGAUAAAAGAUUAUUAUACUGGUUACCUUGCCAACAAAUACCAACCUUGUAUCUACUUCUUCUUUGCAUGUCUGGCUAGCAGUCGCACCAGCAAGAUAUGUAGACCACCGUAAUCAAAUAAGUUAAAAUUUAUGAUCAUAAGAAUCAUUAAAACU